AAAAAAAAAAAAAAAAAGAGAUAAGCAUUUCCGGCCUUAUCUAUGCUAAUGAUGAAAAAUAAAUGUAUAUAAACAGCUCUGUCAUCUUGGCCGUUUAAAAUUCAUAAACAGCCAAGAUGAAGAAAUUUUCCAUGCUAAGAUGUGCAACAUCUUCAGCAUAUUAUCCGUACCACACAGAGAAAACCAUACAAAAUCUAGGGGUUUCUUCCUGCAUUCAACAGUUCUAAUCAGCUCUCUCUUAUGUCUCAUACCAGCUCCAAUACCUAUUGAUUCCAAGCCUAUGCCAUUUUCAAUUGCAGUAGAAAAUAUCAGCGUUAUUGUUAAUAUUACUAAGAGGAAUUGAUGGUGCAAAUGCAAGUCCCCGAUGAAAGUUCUUUCUGGAUUCAAAGAGUCAAGCACCCACAUGCAAAUGGACAGACAAAUAGUCAAACUAUUGCAUCGACAACAUAAUAUCAACUGAACAUUUCUUCUGCUAGCUAAAAACAACUGGAAAAGCAUCAGAGCCUCUCUAACUAAAAUAUGUAGAAACUGCACCACAACCCUGCCAACUACACAACAGGGUAAAUUAUCAUUGCCUUCCAAAUCUAGAGGAGGAAAACAUAAACCAUAAGCACACCCCCUGCAUGCCAUAUUCAACAGUAGUUCUAAUGCUUUCCUAAUGCUGACUAAGUGCCUGUUUGGUAUAAAGGUUGGAGGGUCAAAACUGUUUUUCCAGAAAGAGGCACCAUUUUUAGAUGUUGUUGUAAAAAGCUGUUUGAAAAAAAAUAUUUUGUUAUUUCAAUAUUCUUAAGACUAAAACUUAUCAAAUCUGAUUUUAAAUUAUUUUUAAUAAUCUCUAAUUAGUAUAUUAAAAAAGUGUUUUUCUCAAUAGUAUAGCUCCAACACUAAUGCCAAACAAACCCUAAGAAAGCAUACAACUCAAUAUCACAAGUGGACAAGGAUAUAGAUAUUCAUUGCCUCAAACUUUUAUUUUCGAAGAACUAAGUGUUCAAAGAGCAUAUUAAUGACAAGAUAUAAUAAUGAAUAAUGAUCUAACAGAAAGGAAUUCCAUGCCAGUAGCAAUAUGAAAAUCAUAGAACAACAAGUGACAUGCAAUUAAUAUUCAAGCAGUAAUUCAUGUAUAUUCUGGAGCCAUAAUAAUAAAAAUAAUAAUAAUA
rnacentral:misc_RNA from 1 species